rfam:Alligator mississippiensis ScZkoYb_72, whole genome shotgun sequence.
CAGGGAUGAUUGGCGCAGGGGUACGGACCUCAGCUGAAUCAUGGGAGCUGAGUGUAAAUAUUUCUCUCCUCCACGUGGUAGAAAAUGGAGAAUGUUUACAUGAGACUUGUGCCUAAGUCUGAGCUG